CAGCAGCCACGGGAAUACGGAGGGUGCAAGCGUUAAUCGGAAUUACUGGGCGUAAAGCGCACGCAGGCGGUCUGACAAGUCAGAUGUGAAAUCCCCGGGCUUAACCUGGGAACUGCAUUUGAAACUGUCAGGCUGGAGUCUUGUAGAGGGGGGUGGAAUUCCAGGUGUAGCGGUGAAAUGCGUAGAGAUCUGGAGGAAUACCGGUGGCGAAGGCGGCCCCCUGGACAAAGACUGACGCUCAGGUGCGAAAGCGUGGGGAGCAAACAGGAUUAGAGACCCGCGUAGUCCCUGUCUCUUAUAC
rnacentral:rRNA from 1 species